UCCCUGGCAGUCCAGUGGUUAGGACUCCAUGCUUUCACUGCUGAGGGCCUGGUUCAAUCCUGGCCAGGGAA
rnacentral:tRNA from 1 species